GAUGAACGCUGGCGGCGUGCCUAAUACAUGCAAGUCGAGCGAACGGACGAGAAGCUUGCUUCUCUGAUGUUAGCGGCGGACGGGUGAGUAACACGUGGAUAACCUACCUAUAAGACUGGGAUAACUUCGGGAAACCGGAGCUAAUACCGGAUAAUAUUUUGAACCGCAUGGUUCAAAAGUGAAAGACGGUCUUGCUGUCACUUAUAGAUGGAUCCGCGCUGCAUUAGCUAGUUGGUAAGGUAACGGCUUACCAAGGCAACGAUGCAUAGCCGACCUGAGAGGGUGAUCGGCCACACUGGAACUGAGACACGGUCCAGACUCCUACGGGAGGCAGCAGUAGGGAAUCUUCCGCAAUGGGCGAAAGCCUGACGGAGCAACGCCGCGUGAGUGAUGAAGGUCUUCGGAUCGUAAAACUCUGUUAUUAGGGAAGAACAUAUGUGUAAGUAACUGUGCACAUCUUGACGGUACCUAAUCAGAAAGCCACGGCUAACUACGUGCCAGCAGCCGCGGUAAUACGUAGGUGGCAAGCGUUAUCCGGAAUUAUUGGGCGUAAAGCGCGCGUAGCGGUUUUUUAAGUCUGAUGUGAAAGCCCACGGCUCAACCGUGGAGGGUCAUUGGAAACUGGAAAACUUGAGUGCAGAAGAGGAAAGUGGAAUUCCAUGUGUAGCGGUGAAAUGCGCAGAGAUAUGGAGGAACACCAGUGGCGAAGGCGACUUUCUGGUCUGUAACUGACGCUGAUGUGCGAAAGCGUGGGGAUCAAACAGGAUUAGAUACCCUGGUAGUCCACGCCGUAAACGAUGAGUGCUAAGUGUUAGGGGGUUUCCGCCCCUUAGUGCUGCAGCUAACGCAUUAAGCACUCCGCCUGGGGAGUACGACCGCAAGGUUGAAACUCAAAGGAAUUGACGGGGACCCGCACAAGCGGUGGAGCAUGUGGUUUAAUUCGAAGCAACGCGAAGAACCUUACCAAAUCUUGACAUCCUUUGACAACUCUAGAGAUAGAGCCUUCCCCUUCGGGGGACAAAGUGACAGGUGGUGCAUGGUUGUCGUCAGCUCGUGUCGUGAGAUGUUGGGUUAAGUCCCGCAACGAGCGCAACCCUUAAGCUUAGUUGCCAUCAUUAAGUUGGGCACUCUAAGCUGACUGCCGGUGACAAACCGGAGGAAGGUGGGGAUGACGUCAAAUCAUCAUGCCCCUUAUGAUUUGGGCUACACACGUGCUACAAUGGACAAUACAAAGGGCAGCGAAACCGCGAGGUCAAGCAAAUCCCAUAAAGUUGUUCUCAGUUCGGAUUGUAGUCUGCAACUCGACUACAUGAAGCUGGAAUCGCUAGUAAUCGUAGAUCAGCAUGCUACGGUGAAUACGUUCCCGGGUCU
rnacentral:rRNA from 1 species